rnacentral:rRNA from 1 species
UACGUAGGGUGCGAGCGUUAAUCGGAAUUAUUGGGCGUAAAGCGUGCGCAGGCGGUUUUGUAAGCCAGAUGUGAAAUCCCCGGGCUUAACCUGGGAAUGGCAUUUGGGACUGCAAGGCUUGAGUGCGGCAGAGGAGACUGGAAUUCCUGGUGUAGCAGUGAAAUGCGUAGAUACCAGGAGGAAUACCGAUGGCGAAGGCAGGUCUCUGGGCAACAACUGACGCUGAGGAGCGAAAGCGUGGGGAGCGAACAGG